rnacentral:misc_RNA from 1 species
GAAAUGCGAUAAGUAAUGUGAAUUGCAGAAUUCAGUGAAUCAUCGAAUCUUUGAACUCACCUUGCGCCUUUUGCUAUUCCGAAAGGCAUGCCUGCUUGAGUGUCAUGAAAUCUCAAUCCCCCCGGGUUUUCUGAACCCGAGGUGGACUUGGACAUGGGUGUCUGCCGUCUCGUACGGCUCGCCUUAAAUGACUCAGUGGGAUCUUCAGCGACCGUGGCAGACGUAAUAAGUUUCGUCUCGUCCCUAGCUGUGAGGACCACUCAUAACGUGCCAUCGCGCACCACUUUUGACUCUGACCACAAAUCUGGUAGGACUACCCGCUGAACUUCA